GACGUUGAUAGGCCGGGUGUGUACGCGCAGCGAUGCGUUGAGCUAACCGGUACUAAUGAACCGUGAGGCUUAACCUUACAACGCCGAAG
rnacentral:rRNA from 1 species